UUACGGCCAUAUCAUGUUGAAAGUACCGGUUCCUUUACGAUCACCGAAGUUAAGCAACAUCGAGCCUGUCAGUGCCUAGAUAGGUAACCGAUUGGGAAUACCAGAUGCUGUAAG